rnacentral:rRNA from 1 species
GUAGUCCACGCCCUAAACGAUGUCGACUAGUUGUUGUGUCUUAAUAGACUUAGUAACGAAGCUAACGCGGGAAGUCGACCGCCUGGGGAGUACGGUCGCAAGAUUAAAACUCAAAGGAAUUGACGGGGACCCGCACAAGCGGUGGAUGAUGUGGAUUAAUUCGAUGCAACGCGAAAAACCUUACCUACCCUUGACAUGGUUCGAAUUUUCCAGAGAUGGAAGAGUGCUCGCAAGAGAACGGACACACAGGUGCUGCAUGGCUGUCGUCAGCUCGUGUCGUGAGAUGUUGGGUUAAGUCCCGCAACGAGCGCAACCCUUAUCGGUAAUUGCCAUCGAGUCAAGUCGGGCACUUUACUGAGACUGCCGGUGACAAACUGGA